AUGCGCUUCCAUUCCUCCGUCCUGCCGCGGUACCGACGGUACACGCUGUUCUGCUGCUGUCUCUGGACCGGAGCGUCAUCGAGAGGGCGCAGAAGACAGCUGAACUGUCAGCUACGGUGCGAGACCUGGUCCACCCUCGGUCAGCCUCGCACUCCGGCCGUUCCUCCAGAGGAUGGGACGAACGACGCGGAAACUUCAGGCGCCCAACUGCACCGCCCGCCUCGCGGAGCCGGUCUCCCGCUUCGGCUCCACCUCAGCGGGGCCAGAGAGUUGGCAGCCAACGGUUCCGAAAGAGCCAGCAGACACCGUCUUGGCAGUCACAGGCGCAGGAACCUCGCCGAAAGCAAGCACGAAAAUGACUCAUUGGGGGGGAAUGUGUGUGCUUAUGACUGUAAUGUUGAUGAUGUUGGUUUUGAAAUAAAACCCAAAAAAUGUCACUUAGAGAGCACAGUCCUACAGUCCUCUGCAGAAUCCUCUGCCGAAUCCUCGCACACGUUCCCCACACCAAGCACUGAGACACAUCUGCAUGUUCACGCAGUCAGUCAUAUUACGCGGCCAGCUGUGCGGGUGCGCUCCAUUCGCGCACCGGCCCCAGCCUCUGGCCAGGCCCAACUCAUUCUGCUUCCCCCACAACGUAGGGUGGGACGGGAUGUCACGGCGCUGUCGCGACCGCGCUCAGUGACACAGUGCGCGGCUCCAUCCGCUGGCAUUUUGUCGUACCCGUUCACGGGCCUGGCUCCCACUCAUCCUUGGACUCCACUCUCCGCGGUGCGGAUCAGCUUCCUCCGGCUGUUCCACACUCGCCCUUUCGAGCGCAGCCCUCCAUGGUUCACUCCCAGUUCUCUGGUGCGAGCGAUGGUGGUAAGGGCGCGAACCCAGUGCUCAGGCGUUGUUCACGUGACCUCGAACAUGCGUCCGCUGUCGGAACGCGCACACGAGUGGCGCCGCCUUUGUCUCAUGAGCAAAUGGAUAUCGGAGAUCAUUCAUUGCGGUCACACACUUCAUUUUCAGGCCACUCCACCUCCCUUCAACGCGAUCGUGGAGACGACGUUCACAUCACAGGUACAGUCUAAGGCCCUGUUUCUAGAGCUGCGGGAACUUCUGUCCAAGGACGCAAUUUCCCAAGCCCCUCGCGGACAAGAGCUCUCAGGCUUCUACUCCCGCUACUUUGUAGUACCGAAGAAGUCAGGAGGAAUGAGACCAAUUCUCGACCUUUCCCUGUUUAACUGCUCCAUAGCAGUGAUGCAUUUCUGCAUGUUAACAAUGAGGCAAGUCCUGGAAUACGUGCGCUCCGGGGACUGGUUCACGUCAAUAGACCUGAAAGACCCAUACGUCCACAUCCCAGUAAUUCCCAAGCUCCGGAAGUUCCUGCGCUUUUCAUUUCAGGGAGUUCAAUACCAGUUCAAUCGUCUCCCUUUUGGCUACUCGCUAGCCCCGCGCACCUUCUCCAAAUGUCUGGAGACCACUCUGCAGCCACUGCACACGGUGGGAAUGAGGGUUUUAUUUUACCUGGACGAUCUGCUCCUAUGCGCCCGGUUCAAGGACGAGGCGUCAGAGCAAACCAGGAAGUUAAUAGAGCAUCUGUCAACCCUGGGGUUUUCCAUAAACUGGGAGAGGAGCUCCAUCCUUCCAUUCCAGUCGAUUGUGUUUCUCAGGGUGGAGCUGAACGCCUCUCUAAUGGGAGCAGGUUUGUCUCCAGCGAAAGCGGCAGAUCUCACCACGGUGAUCUCCCGCGUGCAACCCCGCAAGAUCGUGAGAGCCCAGUUACUCAUGAAACUUCUGGGCAUGAUGGCUGCAGCCCACGCUGUGGUGCCGCUAGGUUUACUGCACAAGAGGCCCCUGCAGCGUUGGUUCUUCCGCCUCCGGGUACACCCGAUACGUCAGAAGAGACGUAUGUUGAGGGUUUCCCCUUCGGGGGGCGGGGACCUCGCUCACUGGGGGAAUCCUUGCAUCCCCUCACACGGGGUCUCCAUCGGACGUCCUACGUCACACGUAUCUGUGUUUACGGAUGCGUCACUGUUGGGAUUGGGGGGGGGUGCACGUGCUUGUCCCAUACGGUGGCAGAUCGCUGGCCCUCCCACACGCACAAGCACAUAAAUGUGUUGGAGCUUAUGAUAGUGAGGAAUGUGAUCAGACACUUCGCUGCCCUUCUCGAGGGCCGUCACGUUGAAGUUCACACAGCCAACCAGGUGGCGGCUGCCUACAUAAAUCGCCAAAGGGGAGUUCGGUCCCUCCCACUAUUGCGCGUAGCCACAGAUUUGCUGUGUUGGGCACAUGUCCACCAGCUGUCCAGCAAAGCCACCUAAAUUCCGGGGGUCUUGAAUGUGGCAGCAGACGUCCUGUCGAGAAGGGGACCCUGCGACUCCGACUGGCGUCUGCAUCCCGCACUGAUAUCACAGAUCUGGAUCAGGUUCGGAGAACCAUCUGUGGAUCUGCUCGCAGCUCGCGAAAACGCUCAGUGUCGCCUGUGGUUUUCCCUGAGUCCCCGGGACCACCCUCCGCGCGGAUCGGACGCCUUCUCUCACCAGCCCUGGCCUCAUAUGCUCCUAUAUUCGUUUUCCGCCAGUCCCACUGAUUCCCCUUCUCCUGGACCGAGUUCGGUCAGAGCGGCUCUCAGUAAUUCUGGUGGCUCCCAGACGCUUGUCCGCGUCAUGGGUUCCAGACCUGCAAGCGCUACUGUCCGGCUCCCCGUGGAGGGCGGACGCCCUUCUCCAGGCGGAUGGGAUAAUCAAACAUCCUCACGGAAUAGGCCAACGGCUGUGGGUCUGGCCGCUGAGCGGUCAUGCUUAGGGGCUUCUGGCCUGCCGCAUGAUGUGGUCGCCACGAUUCAGAGUGCGCGGGCGCCCUCUACCGUCGCAUCUUAUGCUGCUAAAUGGGCAGCUUUCCAGAACUGGUGCACAGAGCGAAAUGUUCAAGCGCUCUCCUGCCAACUGGCGGAUGUCCUAUCGUUUCUGCAGAUACUGAUGGACAGAGGCCUCACAUUCAGCACUAUUAAAACAUGUGCUGCAGCUAUCUCAUCCUGUCGCCAGGGUUUUGGAGGUAGUUCUGUUUUCAAUCAUCCUCUCACUCAAGUUCCUGUCACUCAGAACUGCCUUGCUGCUGGGCUGGCAUCAGUCAAGGGAGUGAGCGACCUAACCGCCCUCCCAAUGGCUCCCGCAUGCCUCAGGGUCCGGGGAGAUGGCGGGUCUGCUGUUUUAUGCCCCAACCCAGCCUUUGAGCCCAAAAACAUUAAUACUACAGAGAUUCUUCCCUUAGGCAAGCACUGUCGACCCAGCAUCUUUCACACUGGCUAUGUGGCGCCAUUUCAUUCGCUUACACAUCAUCAGGGCAGGCCUCCUGAGACACUCAGGGCUCACUCAGCCAGAGGGAUUUCCUCUGCUAUGGCGCUCCACAGUGCUGUGUCGAUGGAAGACAUUUGUCAGGCUGCUUCAUGGGCUUCACCCUGUUCCUUUACUCAUUAUUAUUUACGAGAUGUGUCUUCAGGAUCCAUCACUCGUUCAGUGCUUGGACCUCAGCAGGCUGAGUGAAAGCACCUCAUCAGCCUUGCUUGAAUGAAUUUCAUCCUCUUGUGGAUGAUAGUUUUAGUGGGAACCCCACUCUUCUCUCUGGGUGCCUCAGCCUUUUAAGCCCUGGGUUAAGGCUGAGCAUCCCUCACUAAAAGGAGACAUGUUGGGUGUGUCCAUUGGUUGAGCUAACCAGUGUGGCGUAAACCCAUCCAGCUGCGCAUUAUUCCAAUAGCAGCUAGCUUAAGGGCUAAGACUAGACGAAAUAGAACGUUGGUUACGUAUUGUAACCCCAGAUUCUAUGAGUCUAGUCGCAGCCCUUAAGCCACUGGCCCCACUGGUUCUGUUAGGACUAAGAGCCAUCGGAGGCGAACAGUGGAGUCGCUCCACUUAUAUA
rnacentral:lncRNA from 1 species